GACGAACGCUGGCGGCGUGCCUAAUACAUGCAAGUAGAACGCUGAAGGAGGAGCUUGCUUCUCUGGAUGAGUUGCGAACGGGUGAGUAACACGUGGGUAACCUGCCUGGUAGUGGGGGAUAACUAUUGGAAACGAUAGCUAAUACCGCAUAAUAGUAGCUGUUGCAUGACAUUUGCUGAAAAGGUGCAAUGGCGUCGCUUCGAGAUGGACCUGCGGCGUAUCAGCUUGUGGGUGGGGUAGCGGCUCACCAAGGCGUGGAGGCGUAGCCGGCCUGAGAGGGGGACCGGCCACAGUGGGCCUGAGAUAGGGGCCGGAGUCCUACGGGAGGAAGCAGUGGGGAAUAUAGCACGAUGGGCGGAAGCAUGAUGCAGCAACGCCGCGUGCGAGAUGACGGCUGUCGGGUUGUAAACCGCUUUCGCCUGGGACGAAGCGUGAGUGACGGUAACUGAUAAAGAAGCACCGGCUAACUACGUG
rnacentral:rRNA from 1 species